rnacentral:rRNA from 1 species
GGUUUCUUGUAAAUAUAUAGGAGAUUUGGCCUGCCCACUGAAAUGAAUUUGAAGGGCCGCGGUAUUUUGACUGUGCGAAGGUAGCGUAAUCAUUAGUCUUUUAAUUGAAGGCUGGUAUGAAUGGUUAGACGAGGUGAAAGCUGUUUUAUAGUAAAUGAAAUAUUGAAGUUGGAAUUUAAGUAAAAAAACUUAAGUAAUAUUAAGGGACGAGAAGACCCUAUAGAGUUUUAUAAAUAUAAGUUAUAGUAAGGUUAAUUAAAAAUGGUAUUUAUUAUAAUUUAUAUUUAUUUGAUUGGGGCGAUUAGAAGAUAAAUAAAACUCUUUUUUGUAUUUUAUACUUGUUAGUAAAUUUAAGAUCCAUUAAAAUUAAUAAUGAUUGGAAGAUAAAAUUACCUUAGGGAUAACAGCAUAAUUUUUCUUGAGAGUUCUUAUCAAGAGAGAAGAUUGUGACCUCGAUGUUGGAUUAAGAUGAAAGCUGGGUGUAGAUGUUUAGCGUUUUAGGUCUGUUCGACCUUUAAAAUCUUACA